CUACCUUGGCCUCCCAAAGUGUUGGGAUUACAGGUGUGAGCCACUGCACCUGGCCGGUCUCUGUCUUUUAGAACCUUAUGGUGAUGGAACACAGAGCAGGCACUUGCUGGCUAUUAGCUGACUGCCCAAAUGAAUGCACUAUCAGACACUGCAGGAAAAAGGAUAAAGAGAACACUUUCAAGUUUCUCUUUCUUCAGUUCUUUGCUACUCAUCUACUCUGUCUUUUAAUGGGCCUCUUCCACUUCCUCCUUCUGUGCCUCACCAUGGGUCACUGUGGUCAGGGAGACUCAGCUCUUUGGCCUAGUAUGUAAAUCUAAAAGCUGUGCAAUGGUUCUAUUUAAAUUGGAACAAUUCAUGCAGCCAGUCUUUACUGAACAUGUACGUGCCUAGGAAGUCUCAGGAAUGGGUAAGUGCUCCUGCUCCCACACAGUCUACAGACCUGGGUGCAAUGGUGAGAAAGACCUCAGUAAAGCAAAGGAAUUACGAAAGGGAGAGGAUAGAAGAUAAAGUACAUAAUAGUUUCCUGAAGCAGCAGAAUGAAAGAACUCUCUGUGGCAUGAAAAUUUACUGUGAGAUGUAUUUUAAUUUAUGAGUAUCUCAGACCAUGUGGCUUGAUUGUCCAUCUGACUAACUGCUUCCGACUAUUUUAUGAGAGAAUUAAAUGCUAGCAUACUGAACAUCAAUAAAAGCAGACAACCCCUUUUAAAUUAAAAUUAGGAUUUUCUUUUCUUUUUUUUUUUUCUUGCUCUGUUGCCCAGGCUGGGGUGCAGUGGUGUGAUCUCGGCUCACUGCAACCUCCACCUCCUGGGUUCAAGCGAUUCUCCUGUCUCAGCCUCCCAAGUAGCUGGGAUUACAGGCGCGCACCACCACGCUCAGGUAACUUUUGUAUUUUUGGUAGAGAUGGGGCUUCACCACUUUGGCCAGGCUGGUCUCAAACUCCUGACCUCAGGUGAUCCACCCACCUUGGCCUUCCAAAGUGCUGGGAUUGCAGGUGUGAGUCACUGUACCUGGCCUAAAAUUAGGAUUCUAAAGGGUACUUUUAUGGGUUGAUGAAUAUAUAUUUCUAAUAGUAGGAAAACACUGAAAUUUUAACAGAAGUCAGUAAUUCCUGUGUAUGACCUUUCAGGUAUGCAUAUAAUACAAAAAUUAAGAUUACGUGGUAAUUCUUUUAGGAAGCUGGACACUAAAGGCAUGAGAUUUUCGACUGUGAAUUCUAGCCAAUGGAUAGAAAGGCAACAUUCCUAGAUUUGUGUUUGCAAAUUCUUCCUCCCAGUCUGAACAGCCUUAGCCUGUCAGACGGGUAAAUGAUAUUUAAGAACCUGGCAGGGGAUCCUACAGGGGCAGCAGUGUCCUGCUUAUUUUUCUGAAAUUACUGCUGCAAAUAUAAAGAAACUCAGGGUUUGGGAUCAGAGUUGCGGGCAUUAGCUCGUUCUGCUUAGCCCUUGAAUACAAGCAUCAGCGGUACACUAGAAGGCCACAGUGGCAUGCAUGGGGCUUGGGGUCAGUAGUUCUGGGGAUCACUAAGACAAUCCAACUGAAAGGCAAUGGUACAAGGUUACUUAGGGGAGAUACACUCUGGCUUCCCUGCAGUUUACAUAAACCUUUUGCCUUUUACAAAAAUCACACUGGGGCACUGGGACUUUCCCAUCUAUGCUUGGGUAAUAUUUGAGAACAUCUUUCUGAAAAGGGAGAUGUGACACAGGGAAGAGGUGAGUGGAUCCCCUAUUUUUUUUUUUUUUGAGACUGAGUCUUACUCUCUGACCCUGGCUGGAGUGCAGUGGUGUAAUCUCUGCUCACUGCAGCCUCCACCUCCUGGGCUUAAGCGAUCCUCCCACCUCAGCCUCCUGAGUAGCUGGGAUUAUAGGCACGUGCCACCGUGCCCGGCUAAUUUUUGUGUUUUUAGUAGAGAUGGGGUUUUGCCAUGUCAGCCAGGCUGAACUCCUGGCCUCAAGUGAUCCACCCAUCUUGGCCUCCCAAAGUGCUGGUAUUACAGGUGUUAGCCACUGCGCCCGACUGGAUACCCUAUUAUCUCCCAUCCCACAGGUGUACUAACUCCAUGGCAGCAGGGCUUUUAAAGCCCCACGAGGCUGCAGAUGUUACACAGGCCAUGUAUGUUUAAGUACAUCCCUGCUGUUUAGAUGAGGGGCUAGGUUGCUUAGCUGGGUAUCUGACAACUAUUAAGAGGGAUUUAGGCCACAUUUUUACAUAAGAUUUUCUUUAAAUAAGACCCAUUUAGACAUAAAAUAUUUCUGAGGAAAAAUCCUGCUAACAGGGUUAAUGUAGAAACAUAUCUAUGCAAAACAACCCAAAUACUCAGGGCCAAAGCUAGGGGGAAAAAACAACAACCACCACCACCACCAACACCACCAACAACUCAGCUCAUAACAAAACAGUAAUUGUCUUGAGCAAGUCAAAAUUCAGUUUAAAACACAAAUGCUACAUUUAUCCAAGUUGCUAAUGCCCACUAGCUUCAUUACUAAGAGACUGACUUAGAAUGCAGAAGUUGGAGAAAGUCUCUAAACUGAUAUUCUCCUGGGCUACCACUCCUGGGGUUAAGAUCCUUGUCACUUCGGGCCUGGAGGAUGAAAUUAGUCUCCUAUUAUCCUUUAGUUUCUUCCCACUCUAACUUGCCCUGCGCAUUUUCCUAAACUGUUAUUUUUAAAACCUCCAAUGACUCCACUUUAUCACAAGAUUAAAUUCACUCCUGUCAUCUGGCUUUGGGGGCACUCCACACUUUGUGAUUUUCUCUGGCUGUUAACUCGAUAUCAUACUACAAAAUGCAGGGAGUUCUCAGCAUCGCUGGGCAGGACCUGAGAAAGUAAUAGCAGGAGCAAGUAUCCUGGUAUUGCUGCUAUGUAACCAGGUAGAUAUUUCUGUUCGAUGCCAAUAAAAUUGUCCAGGGGGAGGGCAUUCAAAUGCCAACCAUGCCUUUCUUUGCUCAGGGGUACAGGGGUUGUAAUAUAACUUUCAACAACAAUAGAUAGACUUCAUAUGCCUGUAGUCCUAGCCACUCAGGAGGCUGAGGAAGGAGGAUCCCUUGGACCCAGCUCAAGCAAGGUUACAGUGAGCUAUGAUCACGCCACAAGAUAGACCUGACUUAUUAUGCAUGUAUUUAGUUCCCCAGUAUCCCAAACCUACAGCUAAUAUGCUAUCUUACUCUUAAUAUAGUGAAGUUACUGAUUAGAAUGGUUUAAUUAGGUUGGUUUGUGUGAUGGUUAUUUUUAUGUGUCAACUUUACCAGAUUAAAGGAUAGUCAGAUAGCUGGUAAAACAUAAUUUCUGGGUGUGUCUGUGAGGGUGUUUCCAAAAGAGAUUGGCAUUUGAAUCAUUAGACUGAAAAAAGAUCUGCCUUCACCAACAUGAGCAGCAUCAUCCAAUCCACUGAGGACUUGGAUAGAAGAAAUCGCUUGGGUGUAGCUCUAGUUUGUACAAUUUAAUUAUUAUACAAUUUCAUGGUAUAAAUAGGCUAUAACUUCAUAAUCCAUUCUACUGCUGAUGAUCAUUUGGAUUAGUUCCAAUGUUUGACUGUUGUGAAUAGUCAAUGCCCUCAGACAUGUGAGCUCCCCAGGUUCUUGGGCCUUUGGACUCUGGGACUUAAACCAGCAACCCAACACCACCCAUCUCCCAACCCACCUCCCAGAUUCGGAAUCACACCGUCAGUUCUCCUGGUUCUCAACCCUUCAGAGACAGACUGAAUUACACCACCAGCUUUCUUGGUUCUCCAGGAUGCAGAUGGCAUUAACAUGAGACUCCUUUACCUCCAUGACUGUGUGAGACAAUUUCCAUAAUAAAUCCCCUCUUAGAUAUCUUUAUAUACAUUCUACUGGUCCAAUUUUUCUGCAGAACCCUAAUACAGUUGUCUCUGUACUACUUAUUGAAAUAGGACACUUAAUAUUUGUUAAGUAUUUAAGUGGAAUAUUUGAAAACUUGUCUUAACAGAAACUUUAAGGCCAGGAGCAAUGGCUCAUGCCUGUAAUCCCAGCAAUUUGGGAGGCUGAAGUGGGUGGAUCACCUGAGGUCAGGAGUUUGAGACCAGCCUGGCCAACAUGGCAAAACCCCAUCUCUACCAAAAAUACAAAAAAAUUAGCUGGGCGUGGUGGUGGGCGCCUGUAAUCCCAGCUACUCGGGAGGCUGAGGCAGGAGAAUCACUUGAACCUGGGAGGCGGAGGUUCCAGUGAGCCAACAUUGUGCCACUGCACUCCAGCCUGGGUGACACAGCGAGACUCCAUCUCAAAACACACACACACACACACACACACACACACACACACACACACACUACUUUAAGUAGUUGAGAAAUAUUAUUCAUUUUUACAUAGCUAAUAUCCUAUUUAUAAACAUUCUUAUUUAUUCAUAAAAGCAACUGCUCGAGACAUUAUCCUAUUUCCAGUUACUAAUUUUUUAAUAAUCUGGCUUUGCACUAAUUUAGAUGACUUUUAUACCCAAUUAGGCUAAAUUUAUCUGAAAACUGAUUCUAGGCUAAAGUCAAGCCUUUGGCCUCAUCCUAUUCUGACAUCACAGGGAGGCAGCAGCUGAGGCUGUGGUGGGAGAAGAAUGACAAGAACUGAGCGUGGGCCACGGGCUCUUACCUUCAGCAACUUCAUCAGCUCUUCCAGCUGGACCAUCAGCUCCCGCCUGCUCUCCUGCAGGGCCGACAUCCUCUGCUCCAGUUCAUCCUUCCUUUGCCUAUCCAAGACG
rnacentral:lncRNA from 1 species